UGGACAACAGGUAGAGAUUCCUGUACCAGUGCUAAUUGUUUAACCGAUGGGGUGACACAGAAGGAUAGGGAAUCGCACGAAUGGAAAUGUGCGUCCAAGCAGUGAGUGUGAGAAGUAGGCAAAUCCGCUUCUCGCGAAGCAUGAGCUGUGAUGGGGAAGGAAAUUAAGUACGGAAGUUCCUGAUUUCACGCUGUCAAGAAAAGCCUCUAGGAAGAGUAGUACUGCCCGUACCGCAAACCGACACAGGUAGAUGAGGAGAGAAUCCUAAGGUGAGCGAGAGAACUCUCGUUAAGGAACUCGGCAAAAUGACCCCGUAACUUCGGGAGAAGGGGUGCUCUAUUAGGGUGCAAGCCCGAGAGAGCCGCAGUGAAUAGGCCCAGGCGACUGUUUAGCAAAAACACAGGUCUCUGCAAAACCGUAAGGUGACGUAUAGGGGCUGACGCCUGCCCGGUGCUGGAAGGUUAAGAGGAGUGCUUAGCUUCGGCGAAGGUACGAAUUGAAGCCCCAGUAAACGGCGGCCGUAACUAUAACGGUCCUAAGGUAGCGAAAUUCCUUGUCGGGUAAGUUCCGACCCGCACGAAAGGCGCAACGAUCUGGGCACUGUCUCAACGAGAGACUCGGUGAAAUUAUAGUACCUGUGAAGAUGCAGGUUACCCGCGACAGGACGGAAAGACCCCGUGGAGCUUUACUGCAACCUGAUAUGGAAUGUUUGUACCGCUUGUACAGGAUAGGUAGGAGCCGAAGAGACGUGUGCGCUAGCAUACGAGGAGGCAAUGGUGGGAUACUACCCUGGCUGUAUGACCAUUCUAACCCGCCACGCUUAGCGCGUGGGGAGACAGUGUCAGGUGGGCAGUUUGA
rnacentral:rRNA from 2 species